rnacentral:rRNA from 1 species
UACGUAGGGUGCAAGCGUUAAUCGGAAUUACUGGGCGUAAAGCGUGCGCAGGCGGCUUUGCAAGACAGAUGUGAAAUCCCCGGGCUCAACCUGGGAACUGCAUUUGUGACUGCAUGGCUGGAGUGCGGCAGAGGGGGAUGGAAUUCCGCGUGUAGCAGUGAAAUGCGUAGAUAUGCGGAGGAACACCGAUGGCGAAGGCGGCAUCCUGGACCGGUAUUGACGCUGAGGCGCGAAAGCUAGGGGAGCAAACGGGG